rnacentral:rRNA from 1 species
GACAGAGGUCCCGAGCGUUAGGCGGAAUCACUGGGCUUAAAGCGUGUGUAGGCGGAUGCCUAAGUACCUUGUGAAAUCCCACGGCUCACCCGUGGAACUGCUUGGUAUACUGGGUGUCUUGAGCCACUUAGGGGCUACCGGAACAAAUGGUGGAGCGGUGAAAUGCGUAGAUAUCAAGAGGAACACCUGAGGUGAAGACGGGUUGCUGGGCUGACACUGACGCUGAGGCGCGAAAGCCAGGGGAGCAAACGGG